rnacentral:rRNA from 1 species
UUUGAGGUAUCUCUAGCUGAAUACAUAGGCUAGGGAGGCGAACGGAGUGAACUGAAACAUCUAAGUAACUCCAGGAAAAGAAAUCAACCGAGAUUCCGAAAGUAGCGGCGAGCGAAAUUGGAUCAGCCUAAUGCUCGAUAACAACGGCUAAUACUGGCACAGUCUGGAAAGUCUGGCUAUAGAGGGUGAUAGCCCCGUACAGGAAAUUAGCGUUGUGGUACUAAGUGCAUGAAAAGUAGGGCGGGACACGUGACAUCCUGUCCGAAGAUGGGGGGACCAUCCUCCAAGGCUAAAUACUCGUGAUCGACCGAUAGCGUACCAGUACUGUGAAGGAAAGGCGAAAAGAACCCCGGGAGGGGAGUGAAAUAGAACCUGAAACCGCAUACAUACAAACAGUAGGAGCCUCGUUAAGGGGUGACUGCGUACCUUUUGCAUAAUGGGUCAGCGACUUACGUUUAAUGGCAAGCUUAACCGAUUAGGGGAGGCGUAGCGAAAGCGAGUUCGAAUAGAGCGAUUUGAGUCGUUAGGCGUAGACCCGAAACCAGAUGAUCUAUCCAUGGUCAGGUUGAAGAUGUGGUAACACACAUUGGAGGACCGAACCGACUAGUGUUGCAAAAUUAGCGGAUGAACUGUGGAUAGGGGUGAAAGGCUAAACAAAUCUGGAGAUAGCUGGUUCUCCCCGAAAACUAUUGAGGUAGUGCCUCGUGUAUAACUCCAGGGGGUAGAGCACUGUUAUGGCUAGGGGGACAUGGCGUCUUACCAAACCAUGGCAAACUCCGAAUACUUGGAAGUUGAGCACGGGAGACAGAGCACCGGGUGCUAACGUCCGGACUCAAGAGGGAAACAACCCAGACCGCCGGCUAAGGUCCCUAAUAUUGUCUAAGUGGAAAACGAAGUGGAAAGGCUAAAACAGUCAGGAAGUUGGCUUAGAAGCAGCCAUCCUUUAAAGAAAGCGUAAUAGCUCACUGAUCGAGUCUUUCUGCGCGGAAGAUGUAACGGGGCUAAGACAAUAACCGAAGCCGCGGAUUCACACGUAAGUGUGAGUGGUAGGGGAGCGUUCUGUAAGCCUGCGAAGGUGGCUUGUAAAGGCUGCUGGAGGUAUCAGAAGUGCGAAUGCUGACAUGAGUAACGUUAAAGUGGGUGAAAAGCCCACUCGCCGUAAGCCCAAGGUUUCCUGCUCUACGUUCAUCGGAGCAGGGUGAGUCGGCCCCUAAGGUGAGGCUGAUAAGCGUAACUGAUGGGAACAAGGUUAAUAUUCCUUGACCGCCGUUGAGUGCGAAGGGGGGACGGAGUAUUGAAGAUCAUCCGGGUGUUGGAUAUCCCGGUUUGCGCGCGUAGGAGGCUGAUAGGCAAAUCCGUCAGCGAAUCUCCGAGGCAAAGCAUCGAGACCUUUUAGGUCGAAGUGAUUGGAUGUGCUCCCAGGAAAAGCCUCUAAGCUCCAGCUCAACGGGACCGUACCGCAAACCGACACUGGUGGGCGAGCUGAAUAUGCUCAGGCGCUUGAGAGAACUCAGGAGAAGGAACUCGGCAAAUUGACACCGUAACUUCGGGAUAAGGUGUGCCUUUGUAGUGUGAAGGAAGAAACAUCCGGAGCAUGAAGAGGUCUCAGAGAAUUGGUGGCUGCGACUGUUUACUAAAAACACAGCACUCUGCAAAGACGAAAGUCGACGUAUAGGGUGUGAUGCCUGCCCGGUGCUGGAAGAUUAAUUGAUGGGGUGCAAGCUCCUGAUCGAAGUCCCAGUAAACGGCGGCCGUAACUAUAACGGUCCUAAGGUAGCGAAAUUCCUUGUC